rnacentral:lncRNA from 1 species
AGGAUCAGCAUGACUGUAGUGUUCCUGGCUUAACCCUGAGAGGUUGCUGUUCCCAGUGACUAUCUAGGCUGAAGCCCAUGUAGGAUUUGAAGAGACUGAUCCAGGCUUUAUGAGUGGCUGCGACCAUGCUGAUGCUGUAUCAUGUCUCAGACGACUGGAUUCCUAAAAACUCCCCAAAUGAAGCAGGUCCAAUUAGUAUGGUGUCACCAAUAUAUGGAUCCAUGCGAUUGAUUAUCUGUGGAGUGUCCGGAUGGUCCAGGACCCUUCAGAUUAUAUUACGAUGGAGAACAGGAAAAUUAACCAAAACCUGGGCAAGACUGCGAAUGUGUGCUACUAUCCAUCCCAGUUCUGGAGGCCGGAGUUGGAAAUCAGUUUCACUGGGCACACAUGGAGGUGUUUGAAGGGCUGCCCGUGCCAGAGGCUCUCAGGGAGAAUCCCUUCCUUGUCUGUUCCAGCUCUACCUCCUCCUCUGCUGUGUGAGUAAAACCUCCCUCGGCCUCUUUGAUUAGGAUAAGGUGUAUUUAGUGUCUAGCAGGACAAUCCAGGAAAUUCUUCCCAUCUCAAGAUCCCUAACUUGAUCCCUUCUGCAAAGACCUGCUUUCACUCCCAUCUGCAAACACCAUUUCCGGGUUCCAGGGAUAAGCCCUGACAUCUGUGGGUGGCCGUUAUUCAGUUACCGACAGUGUGGCAUGAUGAAAAUGAAGUGUUAAAACAAGGACUGCAGUAUUGUUUAUUCCAGCAAAUGGUGAGUGGUCCAUCCUUCUCCAAGCCCUUUCUCUUCUUCUUCUCAUGGUCUCUGGCAUCUGGGAGAGUCCACGUGGCCUGGGUUGGGCUAACAGAUACCAGCAGAAGUGAUGCGUACAACUUCCGGCAACCUAGGUGCACUUGUCUCGCCCUCCCUGGGAGCAGAUCCAUCCUCAAACCUGCAGACAAGGAUAAUGCUGUAGUGGGUACUGAGAAAAAAAAAAAAAAAAAAAAGAAGGAACCUAAAGGAAAUGUUGGAGCAGAAAUACAUUUCUAUCUUAUUCAAGCUGGUAUAUUUUGGACUUCUGUUGCUACAACAGUUUCAUCUUUAUCCUAACGAAUACCCAUACAUGUAUUAGUAAAAAUAUAAAGGUGUCCAGGGAAUAAUGUCAGACUGAGGAGAAUGGGGCUUGGGGGAAGACGGGUGGCAAGAGGAUGUGUAAGGAAUACACAGUUGUAUCUGCAAAAUGUUUUCACUCUUAAGUUCAGUGGCAAACUAACGGAUGUUCUUUAUAUUAUUCUCUAUGCUUUUUUCAAUAUCUGAUUUAUUUUGCUUUAAAAAUCUAUACUAAUAGUGGAUGAGAAAAUAAAUGUCAUAGAAGGGG